GAUGAACGCUGGCGGCGUGCCUAAUACAUGCAAGUCGAGCGAACGGACGAGAAGCUUGCUUCUCUGAUGUUAGCGGCGGACGGGUGAGUAACACGUGGAUAACCUACCUAUAGGACUGGGAUAACUUCGGGAAACCGGAGCUAAUACCGGAUAAUAUUUUGAACCGCAUGGUUCAAAAGUGAAAGACGGUCUUGCUGUCACUUAUAGAUGGAUCCGCGCUGCAUUAGCUAGUUGGUAAGGUAACGGCUUACCAAGGCAACGAUGCAUAGCCGACCUGAGAGGGUGAUCGGCCACACUGGAACUGAGACACGGUCCAGACUCCUACGGGAGGCAGCAGUAGGGAAUCUUCCGCAAUGGGCGAAAGCCUGACGGAGCAACGCCGCGUGAGUGAUGAAGGUCUUCGGAUCGUAAAACUCUGUUAUUAGGGAAGAACAUAUGUGUAAGUAACUGUGCACAUCUUGACGGUACCUAAUCAGAAAGCCACGGCUAACUACGUGCCAGCAGCCGCGGUAAUACGUAGGUGGCAAGCGUUAUCCGGAAUUAUUGGGCGUAAAGCGCGCGUAGGCGGUUUUUUAAGUCUGAUGUGAAAGCCCACGGCUCAACCGUGGAGGGUCAUUGGAAACUGGAAAACUUGAGUGCAGAAGAGGAAAGUGGAAUUCCAUGUGUAGCGGUGAAAUGCGCAGAGAUAUGGAGGAACACCAGUGGCGAAGGCGACUUUCUGGUCUGUAACUGACGCUGAUGUGCGAAAGCGUGGGGAUCAAACAGGAUUAGAUACCCUGGUAGUCCACGCCGUAAACGAUGAGUGCUAAGUGUUAGGGGGUUUCCGCCCCUUAGUGCUGCAGCUAACGCAUUAAGCACUCCGCCUGGGGAGUACGACCGCAAGGUUGAAACUCAAAGGAAUUGACGGGGACCCGCACAAGCGGUGGAGCAUGUGGUUUAAUUCGAAGCAACGCGAAGAACCUUACCAAAUCUUGACAUCCUUUGACAACUCUAGAGAUAGAGCCUUCCCCUUCGGGGGACAAAGUGACAGGUGGUGCAUGGUUGUCGUCAGCUCGUGUCGUGAGAUGUUGGGUUAAGUCCCGCAACGAGCGCAACCCUUAAGCUUAGUUGCCAUCAUUAAGUUGGGCACUCUAAGUUGACUGCCGGUGACAAACCGGAGGAAGGUGGGGAUGACGUCAAAUCAUCAUGCCCCUUAUGAUUUGGGCUACACACGUGCUACAAUGGACAAUACAAAGGGCAGCGAAACCGCGAGGUCAAGCAAAUCCCAUAAAGUUGUUCUCAGUUCGGAUUGUAGUCUGCAACUCGACUACAUGAAGCUGGAAUCGCUAGUAAUCGUAGAUCAGCAUGCUACGGUGAAUACGUUCCCGGGUCU
rnacentral:rRNA from 1 species